rnacentral:rRNA from 1 species
UACGGGGGGAGCAAGCGUUGUUCGGAUUUACUGGGCGUAAAGGGCGCGUAGGCGGCGCAACAAGUCACUUGUGAAAUCUCCGGGCUUAACCCGGAGCGGUCAAGUGAUACUGUCGUGCUAGAGUGCGGAAGGGGCUACUGGAAUUCUCGGUGUAGCGGUGAAAUGCGUAGAUAUCGAGAGGAACACCUGGCGGCGAAGGCGGGUAGCUGGGCCGACACUGACGGCUGAUG